rnacentral:lncRNA from 1 species
CACGCGCGUGUGCGCGUACACACACACACACACACACACACACGACAGUGAAAGAAGCCGGGUUGUUGUGAAGCUGGGUGGACUUAGAAAAGCCUCGUGGUGCAUUCCAGAAGAGGGGGAAAUUUUUCUACCUGCAGAAGGGCACCUUCGAGCUUCACUGCACACCAGAGAAGAAGGGGGACUUGCUCCUACCACGGGAUCACGGGACAGAGGUGCUGCCACCAGGAAGGGCAAGGUGGGGUAUCUGGAGGAGAGAGAAACUGCCCCCGAAGAUAGCUGGCUGUGUGCAGGGAUCCAAAACAGUCUCAAGCCCCAUCAGCCUAGAGAGAAGGUCAAGGUUUCCAUAUGGCAGACAAUAUGCAGUGAGCAGUGGUAUUUUAAUGUACAGACUAUAAACAGGAGGGCACUAAAUUAAGGAAUACCAUUUAUAGUAACCUCAAAAUAUGAACUACAGCAGCAAGCACCACACAAGGACUGAGAAAUUAAAGCAGAUCCAAAUACAUGAAGGAGAAAUCAUAUAGAUGGGUUAGAAGAAUCAAUAUGGUAAAGGUGACAAUUUUCCUGAGACUUAUUUGCAGAUUGGAAUCAAUACCAAUAAAAUUUCAAUGGGGGAAAAUGUGCAUGUGUGA